rnacentral:tRNA from 1 species
UGCCCCGGGAUGUAACCGGCAAACAGGCGCGCCCCUGAAGCACGCAAUCGCGGUUCGAAGCCGCGCGGGGCAACCA